GAGUGACUUGUUGGGAUCAUGGGAGUCAAAUGAUGCCGAGGAGCUCAUGAGCUUCCCUCCUCCUUCCAAAAGCCCUCAGGAAGAGGUGGAAUUCCUCCUCUCUUUGCCGAAGAGCUGUGAGGGAUACCGGGAUGCGCGGCAUCACCUUGGCUUGAAAGAAGCUCUAGGACCGGGACUUACAUGAUCCCAAGAAGCCAUCCCAUGCAUCGUAGCUCUGUGCGACCUGGACCACAUCGCUGUGGCCAGGGCUUUCAGCUGGCGUGAGGGACAUGGAGCUUGUGAGAGCCAACAGUACGGAGGACAUCAGUGACAUGGGUUAGUGGUGGAGCUGCCAGUCCUGCCUUAAAGGUUGGACUCGACGCUCACAGAGGUCUUUUCCAACCUGGUUGAUGCUACGGGAGGAGGAAGAGGCAAGAAUUCACCUUGAAGCGGUGCAGACAGUCCAGGGACGGGUACUCCUCAAUGUCUCCAGUUCUGAUGUUGAAGCAGGCCCCAUGCCAAGGGCAGCGCAGCCUCUCCCCUCUGAAGACCCCUGCAAUAGAGCAGCACCGGGUACCCGGCCACCAUCACCUCCCAGAGCCUGCGGGAGCACAGGAGAGCCUCCUUGCAGACCUCGGUGGUGACGGUGUCGUUGCCAUCCCUGCUGCUGCCUG